GAUGAGCGCUAGCGGCGGGCUUAAUACAUGCAAGUCAAGGGGUAGCAAUACACCGGCGUACGGGUGCGUAACGCGUAUGGAACCUGCCCUUAUCUGGGGGAUAACUCGGGGAAACUCGAGCUAAUACCGCAUAAGAUAGUAGAGAGGCAUCUUUCAGCUAUUAAAGAUUUAUCGGAUAGGGAUGGCCAUGCGUAAGAUUAGAUAGUUGGUGAGGUAACGGCUCACCAAGUCUACGAUCUUUAGGGGCUCUGAGAGGAGAAUCCCCCGCACUGGCACUGAGAUACGGGCCAGACUCCUACGGGAGGCAGCAGUAGGGAAUAUUGGGCAAUGGGCGGAAGCCUGACCCAGCCACGCCGCGUGCAGGGAGACGGCCCUCUGGGUUGUAAACUGCUUUUAACUGGGAAGAAAGCAGCUCAUGCGUGAGAAUUUGACGGUACCAGUUGAAUAAGCCACGGCUAACUACGUGCCAGCCGCCGCCGUAAGAC
rnacentral:rRNA from 1 species